rnacentral:misc_RNA from 1 species
GUAGGUGAACCUGCGGAGGGAUCAUUAACGAGUUAGGGUCUCACCGGCCCGAUCUCCCAACCCGUUGUCUACUUGACCAUCGUUGCUUCGGCGAGCCCGUCCUCACGGACCGCCGGGGGGUCUUUACACCCCCUGGCCCGCGCUCGUCGAUAGCCCCCAAAUUUAAAAAAUCUUAACUAAACGUGUCUUGAAUCUAAGUAUUAUUGUUAAAUAAAAACAAAACUUUCAACAACGGAUCUCUUGGUUCUGG